GAUGAACGCUGGCGGCAUGCCUAAUACAUGCAAGUCGAACGAGAGGAAGGAAAGCUUGCUUUUCUGAAUCUAGUGGCGAACGGGUGAGUAACACGUAGGUAACCUGCCCAUGUGCCCGGGAUAACUUCUGGAAACGGGUGCUAAAACCGGAUAGGUAGCAGACAAGCAUUUGACUGCUAUUAAAGUGGCUAAGGCCAUGAACAUGGAUGGACCUGCGGUGCAUUAGCUAGUUGGUGAGGUAACGGCCCACCAAGGCGACGAUGCAUAGCCGGCCUGAGAGGGCGGACGGCCACAUUGGGACUGAGACACGGCCCAAACUCCUACGGGAGGCAGCAGUAGGGAAUUUUCGUCAAUGGGGGGAACCCUGAACGAGCAAUGCCGCGUGAGUGAGGAAGGUCUUCGGAUCGUAAAGCUCUGUUGUAAGAGAAAAACGACAUUCAUAGGGAAUGAUGAGUGAGUGAUGGUAUCUUACCAGAAAGUCACGGCUAACUACGUGCCAGCCGCCGCAGUAACAC
rnacentral:rRNA from 1 species